GACGAACGCUGGCGGCGUGCUUAACACGUGCAAGUCGAACGGAAAGGCUCCAGCUUGCUGGAGUACUCGAGUGGCGAACGGGUGAGUAACACGUGGGUAAUCUGCCCUGCACUCUGGGAUAAGCCUGGGAAACUGGGUCUAGUACUGGAUAUGACCUUUCUCCUUAUGGGGUUUGGUGGAAAGUUUUUCGGUGUAGGAUGAGCCCGCGGCCUAUCAGCUUGUUGGUGGGGUGAUGGCCUACCAAGGCGACGACGGGUAGCCGGCCUGGGAGGGUGAUCGGCCACAUUGGGACUGAGAUACGGCCCAGACUCCUACGGGAGGCAGCAGUGGGGAAUAUUGCACAAUGGGCGGAAGCCUGAUGCAGCGACGCCGCGUGGGGGAUGACGGCCUUCGGGUUGUAAACCUCUUUCAGCAGGGACGAAGCGUAAGUGACGGUACCUGCAGAAGAAGCACCGGCUAACUAUGU
rnacentral:rRNA from 1 species